GGGUACUUGAUGCGGCCAUAUCCUGGCAGAGGCCUCACCCUGUUGCAGAGGAUAUUCAAUUACCGCCUAUCCAGGAGCAGGAGGAUCAUUGAAAAUGCCUUCGGUAUUUUGAUUGCUAGGUGGCGUAUAUUUCGCCAACCAAUCAAUGCAAAGCCGGAAAACAUUGCCGUGUUCGUGAAAGCCUGCGUUGUUCUCCACAACUACCUGCAAGUGGAGCAGUCAUCAUCCUACUGUCCUGCUGGCUUCGUGGAUGGCGAAGACAACCGUGGCAAUACUGUAACUGGUGCUUGGCGAGAGAACCUGGAAGAUGGGGGUGUGGCACCCAUCAGCAGGAUGUCCAGUAACAAUUAUACCUCGCAAGCAAGGGCCUUGAGGGACAGAUUGUCCCAGUACUUCGUUUCGGCACCCGGUUCAGUUCCGUGGCAGGUUGAGUCCGUAAGCCGCGUGUGCUGAAAGGUUCGUCCUGCUGGCUUCGUGGAUGGCAGAGACAACCGUGGCACACUUCGAGUAUGCUACAAGGGAAAUGUGGGGACUUGAAGACUUGAAAUGCUUGACAAUGUGAGCUGUUGGCAGCCUUGUGACUCCAUACCCGGUGAUUCGGGCAGGUGUUCCUUGGUGAUGGAGCGAUGAAGCAGUCUUGUUUUUAAACUUGCUCCUUCAAGCGAAGCGUGGGGGACUUGAAAUGCCUAAUGAUGUGAAUGUUUGGAUAGCCUUGUGACUCCACACCCGGUGAUUCGGGCAGGUGUUGCCUGGUGAUGAACGCGAGAACAGUGUUGUAUUUAGCCGCACUGCUUGAAGGGAAAUGUGGGGACUUGAAAUGCUUGACAAUGUGAGCUGUUGGCAGCCUUGGGACUCCAUACCCGGUGAUUCGGGCAGGUGUUCCUUGGUGAUGGAGCGAUGAAGCGGGUGUUUUUAACUUUCCUCAUUGAAGGACAAUUUGGGGAUCUGACAUGCUUGACGAUGUGAAUGUUUGGGUAGCCUUGUGACUCCACACCCGGUGAUUCGGGCAGGUGUUGCCUGGUGAUGAAUGAGGAAACAGUGUUGUAUUUGGCCUCACUGCGUCAAGGGAAGUGUGGGGACUUGAAAUGCUUGAUAAUGUUGACGUCUAUGAAGGCUUGUGGUAUCAUCAUUGCUGGUUCAAUGCGAUGUUGUAUAACUGCACUGCUGGAUAGCCCUCAAUUCCAACUCUUGUGGGUUGUGAGUUGCCUCGCAUUCAAUGAUGACGGUCUUUGAACUGCAGUUAAGCUUUGCAGAUAACGUUGCAUACAGAUAUCUGAGGAUGCGAGGGUAUUGUGUGUGUGUGUGUGUGUGUG